CCAAUAGCGUAUAUUAAAGUUGUUGCAGUUAAAAAGCUCGUAGUUGAAUUUCGGGACUAAUAUGUCGGUCGUACUUUGUACGUACUAGCAUUAUUGGUUUCUCCCUUCUGACGAACCACGAUGUCAUUAAUUUGGUGUCAUGGGAAAUCAGGACUGUUACUUUGAAAAAAUUAGAGUGUUUAAAGCAAGCUCGCGCUUGAAUACAUUAGCAUGGAAUAAUGAAAUAGGACGUUUGAUUCUAUUUUGUUGGUUUCUAGGAUCGACGUAAUGAUUAAUAGGGAUAGUUGGGGGCAUUAGUAUUCAAUUGUCAGAGGUGAAAUUCUUGGAUUUAUUGAAGACUAACUACUGCGAAAGCAUUUGCCAAGGAUGUUUUCAUUAAUCAAGAACGAAAGUUAGGGGAUCGAAGACGAUCAGAUACCGUCGUAGUCUUAACCAUAAACUAUGCCGACUAGGGAUCGGAUGAUGUUAAUUUUUUAAUGACUCAUUCGGCGCCUUAC
rnacentral:rRNA from 1 species